GGGCUGGUAGCACAACGGUAGCGCGUCUGCUUUGCAGGCAGGAGGUUGUGGGUUCAAAUCCCACCCAGUCCA
rfam:Archaeon CG2_30_31_98 isolate CG2_30_31_98 cg2_3.0_scaffold_4484_c, whole genome shotgun sequence.